UGCGCAGGCGGGACUGCAAGUUGGAUGUGAAAAUCCGAGGCUCAACCUCGGAACUGCAUCCAAAACUGUGGUUCUUGAGUGGAGCAGAGGUAAGCGGAAUUCCGAGUGUAGCGGUGAAAUGCGUAGAUAUUCGGAGGAACACCAGUGGCGAAGGCGGCUUACUGGGCUCUAACUGACGCUGAGGCACGAAAGUGUGGGUAGCAAACA
rnacentral:rRNA from 1 species